rnacentral:rRNA from 1 species
GACGAACGCUGGCGGCGUGCUUAACACAUGCAAGUCGAACGGAAAGGCCCCCACCUUGGUGGGGGUGCUCGAGUGGCGAACGGGUGAGUAACACGUGGGUGAUCUGCCCUGUACUUCGGGAUAAGCUUGGGAAACUGGGUCUAAUACCGGAUAGGACCAUGGUUUAGUGUCUCAUGGUGGAAAAAUUAUUGUUUUGGUGCAGGAUGCGCUCGCGGCCUAUCAGCUUGUUGGUGGGGUAAUGGCCUACCAAGGCGUCGACGGGUAGCCGGCCUGAGAGGGUGGACGGCCACAUUGGGACUGAGAUACGGCCCAGACUCCUACGGGAGGCAGCAGUGGGGAAUAUUGCAGAAUGGGCGCAAGCCUGAUGCAGCGACGCCGCGUGGGGGAUGACGGCCUUCGGGUUGUAAACUCCUUUCGUUAGGGACGAAGCCACACCUUUUUUGGGUGUGGUGACGGUACCUUUGUUAAGAAGCACCGGCUAACUACGUG